GAUCCUGGCUCAGAGCGAACGCUGGCGGCAGGCCUAACACAUGCAAGUCGACGAACUCUUCGGAGUUAGUGGCGGACGGGUGAGUAACACGUGGGAACGUGCCUUUAGGUUCGGAAUAACUCAGAGAAACUUGUGCUAAUACCGAAUGUGCCCUUCGGGGGAAAGAUUUAUCGCCUUUAGAGCGGCCCGCGUCUGAUUAGCUAGUUGGUGAGGUAAAGGCUCACCAAGGCGACGAUCAGUAGCUGGUCUGAGAGGAUGAUCAGCCACAUUGGGACUGAGACACGGCCCAAACUCCUACGGGAGGCAGCAGUGGGGAAUCUUGCGCAAUGGGCGAAAGCCUGACGCAGCCAUGCCGCGUGAAUGAUGAAGGUCUUAGGAUUGUAAAAUUCUUUCACCGGGGACGAUAAUGACGGUACCCGGAGAAGAAGCCCCGGCUAACUUCGUG
rnacentral:rRNA from 1 species